GGGAAUCCCUUCUAGGCUGACUCUCCGAAGUUGCACGUCUCAUAUUUUGGGCCUUCACCUGAGCGUGUCUAAGCUUGUUCAGAAUCUUAUCCAUGGAUGCUGACCUCCUCUUUUCUAGUUUCAUCUCAAGCUUUUGGAUUUCUGCUUCUGCUUUGGCCUUCUGCAAGUUCUCCCAAGCAGCGAUCCUGGCUUCCUCUCUUUGCGACUUUGUCAUACUCUUUGUUCCAUCUACAACAUCCCACGUUGAGAUAGGCGAACUUAUGUCUGGUAAUUGUUUCUUGGGUUUCC
rnacentral:misc_RNA from 1 species